rnacentral:rRNA from 1 species
AACGAACGCUGGCGGCAGGCCUAACACAUCCAAGUCGAGCGCCCCGCCAGGGGAGCGGCAGACGGGUGAGUAACGCGUGGGAAUCUACCCAUCUCUACGGAAUAACGCAUGGAAACGUGUGCUAAUACCGUAUACGUCCUUCGGGAGAAAGAUUUAUCGGAGAUGGAUGAGCCCGCGUUGGAUUAGCUAUUUGGUGGGGUAAAGGCCUACCAAGGCGACGAUCCAUAGCUGGUCUGAGAGGACGAUCAGCCACACUGGGACUGAGAAACGGCCCAGACGCCUACGGGAGGGAGCAAUGGGGAAUAUUGGAAAAUGGGCGCAAGCCUGUGCCAGCCAUGCCGCGUGAGUGAUGAAGGCCCUAGGGUUGUAAAGCUCGUUCUCCGGUGAAAAUAAUGUCGGUAACCGGAGAAGAAGCCCCGGCUAACUUCGUGCCAUCAACCGCCGUAAUAC